GUAAUCCAGCACUGAUUCAUAUACACACUCUCAACCCGGUCAGCUGUAGCCUCAGGUGGUGAAUGCCCCCAAGAUGCACCCCCACAGAUGCCCUGCCUACUUCUUGCAAGAUGUCUGCCAGGAGUGGGUAUGUGGCAGGGCGUACUGUGUGGGUGGCAGUGGCAGCAGCAGGUAUGGCGGCACUGGUGGUGGUGGCAGCAACAGCAGUAGCGGGGUGGCACUUCCUUUUUCACCGCUUGAGGCACCAUGCCUAGCACUCCUGCACCACCUACUCUGCUGCUGUGACCGGCUGUGUCCCCCAGUGAUGGAGAAGUGGUGCCAGAAAUCAGCACCAGUUUUUCGGGAGAUCACCCUGAUUUCUGGCAUUUUCUCGCCUGAAAUUGGCACUGAUGCUGGCAGCAUAGCUGGGUCUGCCCUGGUGGAGCAUGCCAUUAAGCCCAGCAGAGUGACGAUGACUUUGGAGUAGUGAGAGGCCCUUACUGCACCACACUGAGCCCCAAACACCUCUCGUUUCAGAAGUAAAGAUGUCCUUUAAUCCCAGACAAAAGGCCAGUUUGCUGUUCCUCCACAAUUUCCUAUCACAGAAAAGGAGUCUCCAGAAACAGAAUUCAGUUUAUUUUUGUUUCCUGGGAUCAAUCCAGAUAAGAGGCAGGGAAAUGCUGAGCAGUCAGUGGGCGGUUUUGUUUGUUUUGUUUGUUUCAUUCUUAAUGGAAAUGUGGAGACAGCUCUGAGGAGCCACUUAACCCUUUCUAGGCCGGAACAAUGGGGGGGCAGCUGACUGGGGACCUCGCUAGGGACCAACUGCUUUUUUUGUUUGAGUUUCUAACUUUAGUCUAACAAGACUCUCUCCCCCCACCCCGGCCUCAGGAAAGCUCUGACCCUUUCCCACUGAGCCAUUUGCUGGAUCAAAAUAAUCCCCAGCUGCUUCUAUCUCCCAGAGGAAAGAUUUGGGGUGAAAGAGUGCAAAAUGCACCAACAUUGACUUUUCAUCCUCACCUUACCCCAGACAAGAAAAUAUGAAAGAAGUCUCUGGUUGCUUCCAGGCAGGGCUUUGUUUAUUUCAUCUCUUAUCUGUUCUUCACGGUAAGGUUACAGGGUAGCUUACAAUAGAAAAAAAAAACAAGUCAAGUGCAAAUUCCACUAUAGUCUUAUAGUCCAGGGAUGGGGAAUGGGAGCCCCCACCCUUGUUUUUGGAGUUAGCAUAACUAAUAGCCUGGGGUGAUGGGAGUUGUAGUCCAGCAGCAUCUGAAGGGCCACAACUUCCCCAUCCCAGUUUUGUUCCUUGCAGGUCCAGCAGCUUUAAAUUCCCCCAUCAACCCUGAUAUAGACCUAUGCAGAUUGUAGGGAGCAGAGAAUUUUUAUUAAACACAGACUACUCAAGUUUUCCAUGGCAAGAAAUAUCGGUUGCAGUCAGUUAGCAGACAGUAGGGGUCUGGAGAGAGAUGUACAUUUUCUCAUACAUCCAUAUUUACUUGGAAGCAAGCCCCACUUGGUUCAGUGGGACUUAAUACUCUUUGGGAAACGUGCAUGAGGGCAAAGUUACUUCUCGAGCCCAGAUGGAAGAAACGAUACAAUACAAACACCCCGGGGUUGUUGUUGUUUGGGGUCGUCAUCCUUCUCCCUAUAAAAGGAAGGUUGUUUGUAACGUCCCCACCCCAAUCUGGGGGAAAAUGGCGAGCAAAUUUCGUCUGAUCCCUUUCUUACCCACGGGUGGGGGUUGAAAUUGUGCUUUUAGUUUCUAUUUGUAUCUUUUUGGCCGCCUAACUUGGCUUCUUGUUUCACAUUUGGCAGGGCUGCCAAGUACAUCUGCCUCGACUUUCUACGACGGGAAGAUCCCGGCAAGCCUGAAUCAUGUACAACUGGGCGUGCACUCGGUGGUUUUCCACGCCUCGGCUGCGUGAACACCACCCUCGGCCAAACUGGACACGCCGGUCCCGCGUGCUCCCCAAAGCUGCACACACGCGGCGCGCCGUCUGGAAGCCCCGUCGGAAGGACAAAAAAGGAGACGGGAGCAGUACGAAGCUGACACGGAUCGGCGCGCGACGCCGCGAGGGGUAAAGGAGGACACUCGAGCACGAGCGCGCGCGCCCUAGAGCCUCGCGCGCGGCCUCCCGGAGCCGACUCCCGCUCAAGUCCGAGAGCUAGCCGCCUGCCCGGAAUCACCCCACAGCCUCACCUCCAGCCUCAGCCAAUCGGCUCUCGUCCUGCCUGUCAUACUCCGUCCUCAUAUGCUAAUAAGCAAGGCUCGGCGAGGCCCAAUCAGAAACAACGCUCGCAUUCUCUUUCUGCUCCAGCGCCCGUGGCAACAAAGGAGUGGCAGCUGAAAGAGCAGCAUGAGGGUCUCGUGGCGGGGAGGGGAAGGGAAUGGUAGCUGAGUGUGUUGCCCUGGCAACCUAUAAACCACAAUAAGCCAAGGCACCGGGACAUAAUGGGCCCUUAUUUCCCGCACACUCUUACCGCGCUUCCUCUGUAAGAAAGGAACGGAAUAAACCUCUUAUAUUA